rnacentral:rRNA from 1 species
UACAGAGGUCUCAAGCGUUGUUCGGAUUCAUUGGGCGUAAAGGGUGCGUAGGUGGCGCCGUAAGUCAGGUGUGAAAUCUCGGGGCUCAACCCCGAAACUGCACUUGAUACUGCGGUGCUUGAGUACUGGAGAGGAGAUUGGAAUUUACGGUGUAGCAGUGAGAUGCGUAGAUAUCGUAAGGAAGACCAGUGGCGAAGGCGAAUCUCUGGACAGUUACUGACACUGAGGCACGAAGGCCAGGGGAGCAAACGGG